AUGGUAGGAGGACAUCGUUGGCACAUGUGGUUCUAUCCUAAUGGCGAACGCCCAGAGAGCGCCGACUCGAUAUCUCUCUUUCUACGUCUCGUUGAUGCAAAUGUUGCAGAGGCUCUGAACGUGCAGUCCAUUUUUAGUUUCGUUGACGAGCAUGAGAAGCAAGAUUCAGCACAUAUUCGUGCCAGCAAGCCAGACAACUUCUCUAGCUGUUCACGAAGUUGGGGUUACCCAAGUUUCAUGAAAAGAGACACUCUUGAAAAAUCAAAGCAUCUAAAUUAUAACUGUUUCACCAUCCGAUGUGAUCUCUCCAUUGUCACGGCCACUGAUCUCUUCAUCAAAGUACCCGCUUCUAGCAUAAAACAGCAUAUCAGUGGCCUCCUGCUGUCCAAGGAGGGCACAGACGUGACAUUCGUUGUGUCCGGUGAGAAGUUUGCUGCCCACCGGUGCGUGCUUGCAGCUCGGUCAGCUGUCCUCAAGGCGGAGCUGUUUGGAUCCAUGAAGGAGAGCACAAUAGCGAGUGUCAUAGAUGUAGAAGACGUGGAGCCAAGAGUGUUUAGUGCUUUGCUUAACUUUAUUUACACCGAUUCACUGCCCAAGAUGGAGAUAGGAAUGUUGGAGGAUGAAGGAGAAGCCCAAGAAGCAUUGUGGUUGCAACACUUGCUUGCAGCGGCCGAUAGAUACGCUCUCCAAAGGCUGAAAGCACUCUGUGAAGAAAAGCUGUGCACUCACACAAACGUGAGCUCGGUGACGACUAUUCUCACUCUAGCUGAGCAGCACAGCUGUUGUGGAUUGAAGGAGGUUUGUUUUGAGUUCAUCAAGACUCCUGCUAAUUUGAAGGAGAUAACGGCUGCUGACGGCUUGGAGGACAUAGCUAGAACCUGCCCCUCUCUUCUAAAGGAGCUAAUUGCUAAGUUUGCUUCCUAA
rnacentral:rRNA from 1 species